CCUACGGGAGGCAGCAGUGAGGACUUUUGGGCAAUGGGCGCAAGCCUGACCCAGCCACGCCGCGUGUGUGAUGAAGGCCUUCGGGUCGUAAAGCACUGUGGGGAGAGAGGAAACAGCGCAUCAGGAAAUGGGUGCGCCUUGACGGUACCUCCUUAGCAAGCACCGGCUAACUCUGUGCCAGCAGCCGCGGUAAUACGGAGGGUGCAAGCGUUGUUCGGAUUUACUGGGCGUAAAGGGCGUGUAGGCGGACUGGCAAGUCGGUUGUGAAAUCCCUGGGCUCAACCUAGGAACUGCAUCCGAAACUGCUUGUCUUGAGUACGGGAGAGGGUGGUGGAAUUCCCGGUGUAGCGGUGAAAUUCGUAGAUAUCGGGAGGAACACCAGUGGCGAAGGCGGCCACCUGGACAGAUACUGACGCUGAAACACCAAAGCGUGGGGAGCAAACAGGAUUAAAUACCCCUGGUAG
rnacentral:rRNA from 1 species